UGUAAUUGUGUAAUAAAUCCGACCAGAUAAUCAAUCCCCCCUUUAUAAGCACCGUAUCUCUCAGAUUCUGUGCUUGCUAGAGAUUAUCUUCGAUCUGAUCGACGGCGGCGGCGGAGGAGGAUCCGAAACCGAGUAGGAUAAUGACUCGCCGUUGCUCUCACUGCAACCAAAACGGACACAACUCACGUACAUGUCCGAAUCGCGGUGUAAAGCUCUUCGGUGUUCGUCUCACCGAGGGCUCGAUCCGCAAAUGUGCCAGUAUGGGCAAUCUCAGCCACCACUCCUCUGGCUCUGGGUUGAGUGGACUCGUGUCGAACAAUCCUGCCUCUCCCGGUGAUGGCCCUGACCACGGCGUCGGCGACGGUUACGCCUCCGAGGACUUUGUUCCCGGCUCAUCAUCCUCUAGCCGCGAGAGGAAGAGAGGGAAUCCAUGGAGGGAAGAGGAGCAUAGGAUGUUCUUGUUGGGUCUACAGAAGCUGGGGAAAGGUGAUUGGAGAGGUAUCUCUAGGAACUAUGUGAAGACGAGGACACCUACUCAGGUCGCGAGUCACGCUCAGAAGUAUUUCAUCAGACUGUAUAAUGUCUCUCGCCGCAAGAGACGUUCUAGUCUCUUUGAUAUUGUUCCUCCUGAUGAGCAGGUAAUUGAUUCUCAGGAACUGCAAGCUGAGGAUGUUCAAAUGCAGGGCAGUGACUCUGUUCCUGCACCGUUGAUCCUGGAGACGGAAGAGUGUGAGUCGAUUAAAUCCACCAACUCUAGUGGUGAUGAGCCUCCGACUGCUUCUUUCGACACCAUCCAAACUCAGCUACAACCACCACCGCCUGGUUCGUUCCCUGUGCUCUAUCCGGCUUACUUCUCACCGUUCUACUCAUUCCCCUUUCCGGUUUGGCCUGCUGCGUAUGUUACCGGGCCACCGGCAAAUGAAGAGACUCACGAGAUUCUCAGGCCGACAGCUGUGCACUCAAAAGCCGCUCCGAUUAAUGUUGAUCAACUUCUUGGUAUGUCUAAGCUCAGCCUCGGAGAGUUUAGCCAAAAUGGUGUACUGGAACAGUCUCUUUCAUUGAAACUAGUUGGAGGUUCGGCUUCAAGGCAAUCAGCCUUUCAUCCAAAUCCAGCCAAUGGUGGUGGUGUACCGGACAUGAACACCGUGAUUCAUGCUGUCUAAAGAUCUACCUGAUGUGACGGUGGUCUCUCAGAUUUGUGGCCGUAGCCAAGUGAUUCAUUGUCAUUAACAUGACUUAUACAACAACAGCGAAUUGCAGACAGUUAAACGCUAAUAAUCAUAACCACAAAUGUACAUAGUGUCGGUUGGGGACUUGGGAGAGACAGAGUCUCCGGUCACUACUGUGUGGUCUUUGACUUAGAGACUCUCUGCUCUGUUGAGUUAGUAGAGGAACAGUCUGAAUCGGUGAAACAGUGUGGCUAUUUGUUAUCUGGUGUUCGUGUGGUAAUGCAGAUAGGUGUCUGUAUGGUGUUGAAGAAGAUUGUACGGUUUGGACGUCUAAGAAUGGACACUCUGAUGGGAGGUUAGAUUUGUUUCAGGCCGAUGAGAAGAUUAAGAAAAGAAGAAGAUGUCUUGCGUGAAAAGGUGUAGAGAUGUGUAUAUAAUUCUCAUGGACAUGGUACAGAAGCCAGUCUGCAGCUCUUUUAGCGUAGAAAUGUUUAUGUCUUAUAUGUAUCAAAACCUUGUUUGAUUAUAUGAGAACCAUAUAUAACAAGUAGUACAAACUA